GGAGAACAGAGCGAAUUAUAUACAGUGUUCCAUUUAAAGGUUCUUGACAAGGGAUUUUAAGUGAUUUAUAAAGUUAGCCACUUGAACUGCAGCAUUGGCCAAUUUUGUUGUUUGUCAAUUUCCUUCCCCUUGCGCUUUAAAUUUUUUUAUAUGAAUAUAGAUCUGCUCUAAUUUGGAUUUUCUAAUGCUGAUGCUAAUCCAAACAGCAUACCAUCACAUUAUUUAUGUUGAUUU
rnacentral:misc_RNA from 1 species